UCCGGUUGAUCCCGCCGGACCCGACUGCUAUCGGAUAGAGAUUAAGCCAUGCUAGUUGAACAUUUCUUAACUAUGUGAGAAGUGUAGCGUACUGCUCAGUAACACGUGGUCAACCUGCCCUAGAGACGUGUAUAACCCCGGGAAACUGGGACUAAUACGCGAUAGGUCAUAUUUUCUGGAAUGGUUUAUGACAUAAAGGAUAUUUCAAACAUGUUUGAUUUAUUGCUUUAGGAUGGGACUGCGGCCGAUCAGGUUGUUGGUGGGGUAAUGGCCCACCAAGCCGAUUACCGGUGCGGGCUUUGAGAGAAGGAGCCUGGAGAUGGACACUGAGAAAAGGGUCCAGGCCCUACGGGGCGCAGCAGGCGCGAAAACUUCGCAAUGUGCGAAAGCACGACGAGGUUAAUCCGAGUGCAACAUGCUGAAUGUAGCUUUUGAUAAGUGUAAGUAGUUUAUUGAAUAAGGGGAGGGAAAGUCUGGUGUCAGCCGCCGCGGUAAUACCAGCUCCCCGAGUGGUUGGGACGUUUAUUGGGCCUAAAGCAUCCGUAGCCUGUUCUGUAGGUCUUAUGUUAAAACCAAUUGCUUAACAAUUGGACUGCAUGAGAUACCACAAAACUAGGAGGCGGGAGAGGUGGACGGUACUCCACGGGUAGUGGUAAAAUGCUCUGAUCCGUGGAAGACCACCAGUGGCGAAGGCGGUCCACCAGAACGCGCUCGACGGUGAGGGAUGAAAGCUGGGGUAGCGAACCGGAUUAGAUACCCGGGUAGUCCCAGCUGUAAACGAUGCAAGCUAGGUGAUGGAUUAGCUACGUGUUAAUCCAGUGCCGCAGGGAAGCCGUUAAGCUUGCCGCCUGGGGAGUACGGUCGCAAGGCUGAAACUUAAAGGAAUUGGCGGGGGAGCACCACAAGGGGUGAAGCCUGCGGUUCAAUU
rnacentral:rRNA from 1 species